CCUACGGGUGGCAGCAGUGAGGAAUAUUGGUCAAUGGGCGCGAGCCUGAACCAGCCAAGUAGCGUGAAGGAUGACUGCCCUACGGGUUGUAAACUUCUUUUAUAAAGGAAUAAAGUGAGGCACGUGUGCCUUUUUUUAUGUACUUUAUGAGUAAGAGUAGGCUAACACCGUGCCAGCAGCCGCGGUAAUACGGAGGAUCCGAGCGUUAUACGCAUUUAUUGGGUUUAUAGUGUGCGUAGGCGGAUUGAUAAGUUAGAGGUGAAAUGUCCGAGCUUAACGCGGGAACUGCAGUUAAUACUGGUGAUCUAGAGAGCAGACGCGGUAGGCGGAAUGUAUGGUGUAGCGGUGAAAUGCUUAGAGAUCAUACAGAACACCGAUUGCGAAGGCAGCUGACCAAGCUAUAUCUGACGUUGAGGCACGAAAGCGUGGGGAGCAAACAGGAUUAGAUACCCUUGUAGUC
rnacentral:rRNA from 1 species